rnacentral:rRNA from 1 species
CACGUGGACAACCAACCUCUUGCACUGGAAUACCCCGGGGAAACGUACGGAUCAAUGCCAGAUGACGUGCGGCGCCGCCGGGUGCCGUACCAAAGAUAGCUUCGGCCUUCGCGAGAGACGGGUCCGCGGCCCACUUAGCUUGUUUGGCGGGGUAACGGCCCACCAAGGCGACGAUGGGUAGCUGGUCUGAGAGGAUGAUCAGCCACACUGGGACUGAGACACGGCCCAGACUCCUACGGGAGGCAGCAGUGGGGAAGUAUUGGACAAUGGGCGAAAGCCUGAUCCAGCAAUGCCGCGUGA